rnacentral:lncRNA from 1 species
UUGAAUUUAUUUAUUGGACUUAUGAUAAGUAAUUGUACCCCGCCUUCCCGUUGUUCUUUUUCAACGACAACGCAUGCUACCUCGUAUUUCUUGUUUGCAAAUUAUUCUCUACAUAACUUUCCGUUUUAAAUAUGCAUGCAUAAAGUAUUUGUCACUGGAUGGUCAGAAAACAACAAUCAAUCAAUCAUAUCUCCUCCUAAAUAACAGUACUAUAAUGAC